rnacentral:tRNA from 1 species
GGGAUUCGUAUAGUGGUAGUACGGCGGUCUCCAAAACCGUUGGCGGGGGUUCGAUUCCCUCAUCCC